AAUCAACGCUGGCGGCGCGCCUAACACAUGCAAGUCGAACGAGAACGGCUUCAGCAAUGGGGCCUAGUAAAGUGGCGUACGGGUGAGUAACACGUGGGUAACCUACCCUCAAGUGGGAGAUAACCUGGGGAAACCCGGGCUAAUACCGCAUAACAUCCCGGUGGUGCAAACCGUUGGGAUCAAAGGAGUAAUUCGCUAGAGGAGGGGCCCGCGGCCGAUUAGCUUGUUGGCGGGGUAACGGCCCACCAAGGCCAUGAUCGGUAGCCGGUCUGAGAGGACGCACGGCCACACUGGAACUGACACACGAUCCAGACUCCUACGGGAGGCAGCAGUGGGGAAUCUUGCACAAUGGGGGAAACCCUGAUGCAGCGACGCCGCGUGGGUGAUGAAGCUCUUCGGAGUGUAAAGCCCCUUCGGCAGGGAAGAACUAAGACGGUACCUGCAAAAGAAGCCCCGGCUAACUACGUGCCAGCCGCCGCAGUAAAAC
rnacentral:rRNA from 1 species